ACGACCGGCCUCAGUGUAGUGUGCAGCGAGUCAAAUGUCAUCUGAGGUGUCGGCGGCACAGCAGCAAUUUAUCUGAGAAAGGACUGUUAAUUAUCCCGCCCUAAUGCCAUCAUGUCAUCAGCAGGAAAAGGAGUCGGCUAUAAAGACAUGCAGCAGCAAGCGGCACGAGAGGCGAAGUGUUUCGUGGUCACAGCCAUUCAGCCCUCUACGGGUAGGUUUCAGCCUAUGUAAGUGCCCGAAAUACGGCGUACGGGUUUGAGAGAUUCCGGAAUUAGUGAUUGUGUACUGUGAGUUGUUGAACAUACACUAUGAGCGUUAUACCUUUAUUCGUGAACAAGCUUUUGAGUUAAAGGACGCUUUAUUUGUGCGAUGCUGAUUUGUUUUAUAUCAUCAAUCUAUCUAACGUUUUAGAAGUUUGUAUUUGGGUACUUGCCUGGAACCGUGACUAUCGGCAUAACGUCAUUAAACCAGGAAAACUGGAAAAUAAUUGAUAGUUAACGGAGCAGUGUUAGUGGAGAUCAUUACUGACGAUCGCCUGUCUACCGGGACUGCUGAGGGAAAUACACAUGUUAAACCAAACUCCAAUAACGAGUGAAAGCAGCAACUCAACUGUUGUCAAUAUUCAUGAGCUGGAACGUCAGUCUUUGUCUAAAAACAGCUGGCAUUUCUUUGAUCGUCGUGACAGUGACACACGUAAAGUUCAGAACGACAGCAACGGCGGUAUUGUCGUUUGGUGAACCGCGUACUCUUAUGAGAAUAAGAAGAUUUAGCAGUGUGAGAUCUCAUGACUUUUUAAAUACUUGAGCAUGCAGCCGAUUGCUUUAAAAGGAAUAUCAAUGUCAAGCCAACUAUCUGUCUUUGCUGUGUCGUAGACGUCCUGCCUGCAUGGUUUUGUGAACAAAACGGAAUACCAUUUCAUAAAUGUGUGUAUGACGUCACUGAAAGUGUGAUAAUGCGUCACUACAUCAGAACGAGUCACGGUCAGAGACGCCGGAACAGCGUCACACAUUCGGAAGAGGACAACAACGCUGUGAUGUACAACUGCAGUGAUCCAAGGCGAAAAUCAACUGAUGAAUUUCUGCGCAUGACAACAGGAAGUAACCAGAGAAGAGUGUCACUUCCAGCGAAUGUCACAUUCCAUUCUCCCGGGGCAAUUUUUAAAACUGCUGCAAGGAAAGAGAGAAAGUUGAGAAGAAUAAAAACAAUAACUGAUGAAAUAAAUUCCAAUAAGGUGCUUUUCUCCAUAUCAUGUGUUGUGAUUCUCGUCAUAUUAGCUGUGACGUUUUCAAUGUACAGAAUGUUUACCACGUGACAAAAGUGCUGUACCACAUUACCCACAGAAUAUUUGUGAGGUGUGGAAUAUCUAUACAUAUCGAUAUCGUGAAUGGUACCAGCUUUGUAUUCGCUGCAAUUCCGAUAUAGUGAAAUUGCUGUAAUUUAAGUUGGCGAAAACAUCUUAUGUCUUCUAAGAAAUCCAUUGUCCUUUGAAAACAAACGUUGAAUGUUGUAAGAGUUACCAUGGUAACACCCUUGACCUUGGUGAAAUCAGCUGCUUUAGUGAUCUUGGAUUUCUUCACUGUAAUAUAUACAGCUUCUUUGACAUGGAUAUUUUUCACCAUAACGCCAGUGUCCUUAGUGACGGCCAUGACCUUGGUGUCAUUAAUGACCACGAUAACAACAAUGUUUAAAUCAAUCGUCAUGGUGAUAUCAUGACCUUGACACCUAUAAUCUUGGUAGUAACUGCAAAUACAGUGAACUUGAACAGCUACGUGUAACUUCUUGGUGAUAUUGGUAAACUUACAUUUGAAACUGAAGACUUUUACAAUAAACUUAAUGAUCUCAAUUACCCUGCCGGUAUCACCAACCUGCAUGGAAACAUGGCGUCCAUAGUUACAACAUUCUUGACAUUCCCGAUUUUCUAAAAAUGGGUAAAAAUCAAACCUAUCGCUUCAGUGACCUUGAAUGUAUUCAUUGUGAUAUAAAACCUCUACUUCCACGA